GUGUGGGAUCUGAUAACAGCCAUGUCAGUUGCUUCGUUUCAAAUUGAUUUAAGAAGACUGGGAUCCCGAUACCAAAGUCUUCAGUGGAUGAGGGGAGUAUUCUAGCAGUUGACUUCCACUGUCAUCCAUGACGCAGUGGCUGAUGCUUCAACCCGUAAAGGAAGAGACACAGUGGUGGCUUGGUUUCAACAACUUCUGUGAAAAUCAGCAGCCUGAAUCUGCAAGCCUCCUCCUUCCCAAUUGAUGGCCCCCAGCUGUGAUUUCUCCAGUAAUUACAUAUUGGUUUAAAGCUAGAAACUUCUCAUCAAGAAGCCAUCAAAGCAUUGCUAGGCAUGAGAGCCAGUUAUUAGUAAUGACGGUUCAGGAAGAGACCAUUUACAGACACAAGAUCAGAGAAGAAUAGUGUGAGAAUAAAGUAUUUCAUGAAUUCAUAGUGUCUUCCCCUCAAACAGAUGUCCUCUCCAAGAUGCCUGUCUUUCCCACCUGACUCUCCCCUGAAGCUUGACGUUCUGAAAGAUGCUGCAACAUAAGGAUCUAAAAUACUCUAGAUGUGGAACACAUCUGCAGAAAGUCCUCUGGCUUUGUGCCUCAACACUGGGUGGGCCACUAUGGAGUGACUGUACAAUUUAUCUUGAGACUAGGGCAUUUCUGAAAGUGAAAGGGAGAGCUACCUAUAAUUAUCCAGGACAUCAUAAACUGAGAUUAUCUCACAGGAAUGUGGCUGAAUUAUUAAGCAUCUGGACAGUAAAUUAAAAAAAAAUAUGUGCUGAAAAGAAAGGAGGAAAAUCAAAGAACUGUUUUCUUUCUCUAAUGUUUAGAAACUAUUCUGUAAACUUUGUAUCUCUUGACUAAUCAUAGCAACUGUCUUAGAUAGAUGUCAUUAUUCCCAUUUUAUGUAUGAGAAAACUGAGGCUCCAGAAAAUAUAGUCAUUUGCCCAAGGCCACAAUAUAUUAUAUGUUAGGGGUAGCAUGGACUUUAGAGAGGUUAGAAAUUAUGAAAAUAACUGGCCAAAUGAAUGAAUGAAUAAAAUGAUACAAAGCCCAACACAUCUCAUUCAUAAGAUGAAAAGAAUCCUGUGUAUAUUAUCAUCAGGGUUUUUAGAACGUUGCCAAUUUGAAAAAUAGUCUUAGCUAAUUUACACUUCCUGCAGCACUUUCUUUUACAGCAUCAUAAUGGCAACCCACUCCAGUAUUCUUGCCUGGAAAAUCCCAUGGAGGAACCUGGUUAGGCUACAGUCCAUGGG
ensembl:lncRNA